CUGUGAACGCCCAGAAACUGUCUCCAUCCUUAGCCUCAUCCCCUUUUAUGUUUUCUUCAUCUUUGAACAAAUGCAUUGCUUUCUGUCUGAGAAUGAGGCUUACAUUCUGUUGUGGUUAGGAGGGAUAUUGACCUGAAGGCACACUGUUCCCUCUUAAAGAAGCAAGAUCAACAUUCAGAAUCGCUCAGUGACAAAUCUCAAUUGGUGGAAGAACAGGUCACCCAUGGGCAGGAAACUCCGCUCCACACAAUUGUGGUGAGACCACACCUAGACGGCUGCGUGAUGUCUUGGGUACCUGAGUAUCCAAAAACUUGGACUGAGUUCAAAGGAGAUGAUUAAAGGAAUGGGGGAAUUGGAAGUGACUGACUGAUGAGAAAAGAUUAAAGGAGCCAAAUCAAGAAACCUGACAGAGCAAUAGCUAAGGGGAAAAAUGAUAAAAGCUACAAGUACCGGGAAUGUGCAAACACCAAGUUGGAGAGCUGAGGCUGGGCCAGAGACCAGACAUGCUCCUGGAUCCAUGUUCACACAGAGUUCAUGCAUAAAAAUACCUGCCUAAACCAGAGGUCAACCAAUCAACAAGGUGGUAUUGGAACACUUAAACACUUAAAAUCCAACUUGAAUUUGAUAAGUAAUAUAUUAUGGGCUUUCCAUCAUCAACUCGCUUUGACAGGCUGAAGGUAUGUGGGGAGAAGACUUCGACUGAUGAUCAAUUGAAGAAAGAAUUUCAUUCAAUGUUUCUUUAUCAGCAUGAGAGUUUGGGGAAGUUUUGGGUCCACGUAGGUUGAAAAGCUCAUCCCAAUCACCUUAUAUUGUGAGGUAAAAUUUAUGUUUUGAUCUGCUAUUGCUAUCUGGAUCUAUAAUACCUGCUUGUGGUCUAAGCAAUUGAUUUAAAAAGCUGCUCAUCCCAGUCGCCCAUUCACUUAAAUGAUAUUUACGAAACACCUGAUAUACACUACUCAUGGUUCUAGAUAUCAAGGGCCAACAUGGAACAAGGCAUUAUUCUCCUGAAGAUCAUAAUUCAGUCUUUCUUUCUGAUUCACUGAUAAGACCCUGCCUUAGCUAGAGAUAGAAUGAAGAAAGUUCUGAUGCUGUCUUUCCCCUGGCCCCUUGGUUCUAACUUUAGAGAGAGCCUUUUUUGUUUGGUUUGGUUUAAGUUUAAAAGCCAUUCAUAUUCAAGGCUUCUCUCCAUUUUCAAGAAUAUAGCAAUGGCCACAAAAAAUCAUUGUAAU
rnacentral:lncRNA from 1 species